rnacentral:SRP_RNA from 1 species
GCCGGGCGGUGGUGCUUGCCUGUAGUCCCAGCUAUUCAGGAGGCUGAGGCGGGGGGAUCUUGAGUCCAGGAGUUCUGGGCUGUAGUGCACUAAGCCAAUCAGGUGUCCACACUAAGUUCGGCAUUAAUACGGUGACCUCCCAGGAGCGGGGGACCACCAGGUUGCCUAAGGAUGGGUGAACCCGCCCAGGUUGGAAACAGAGCAGGUCAAAAAACUCCCGUGCUGAUCAGUAGUGGGAUCGCACCUGUGAAUAGCCACUGCACUCCAGCCUGGGCAACAGAGCAAGACCCCGUCUCU